UCGCGCUUUCCGGGAUGGCGGGGUUGGGGGACGCGGGGUAUCUCGGUUUCCGAAGGGCCCAGGCGCUGAGCAGGGACGCGCGGCCACCCUGAGGGCGAUGGGAUAUGGUUCGCCGCUGUGCCGGGCCCGAGGAUCCCGUGCCGUGAGUCCGUGGAGGGAAGCGGCCCGGCCUGGUCUCCACCACGUUGUCCGUGGACCUCAGAAGACCCCAACGCGGCCCCCAGGCUGCGUUCCCACUCCAGGAAGUGGAAGAUGGACUUGAGUGCAUUUGAGUUUAUUGGACACGUACUGUGUGUCAGGGAAUUUUUAAUAGAAACAGAUUUCUCGUGAAAGAGAAAGGCCUCACCCUGUAACUGCAUGCAUGCCUACCGUAUCCCAUUUGAGAUCAAGUCUACAUAGGAGUAAAGUGCCGUUUAAGGUUUAGAUCUCGAUAUUUGUUUCAAGAUAGAGAACUUGGCGAGUGAGCGGCAGCAGCUUCGCAGGUGAAAAACGGAUGCUUGAAGCAUAUCCUGCUGCUAGCUGAAUUCUGUCCUGGAGCACCAAGGGUGACCUAAGGAUGUCCUUGAUGAAUUCAAAACCAUCACAGGAAAUCUUGACAAGAGUUGCUUGGAUCAUUUAAAAUUCCCAGGAGUCUGAGGGGGUACUAAAACAACUGUUUUGGAACUGUCCAUAAAUCUACCUUUAAAAUAGUGGGGCUAUGAA